AAGUCAGCUACCUACUUAGCAAGAUAUGUGGGCAGAAAUUCAUCCCGAAAGUGACGUGGACAGACAGUCCUCCGAACUAUGGGGACAAAGGACUCCAAAACUGUGGUUUCUAUACCUCUGGUUGCCUCUAAAGUGCCUUUGCAAUACUGCAAUUAUUAUUUUCAGGAGGGCUCUUUCCCCCACAGCUAUGAUGAAGAUUCAGUUCAUAAUGUGUUCACGUGUCAACAUCCCACAGGAACUGGAGGCCGAGUAUGAUUCCAAAUGGAAGCAGCCCUCAUUCAAAGCAGACAACCAGAUCUGCUGUCUCCCAGUCAGGGGAAACUUUUGCCAAACACAGGCCGUCUCUAAUUCCCUUUUAAAUUGUAGUCAAUGUUUUCACCCUGAACUCCAGAAUUGUAUAAUUAUACCUUAUAACAUACGGCACACAAAGCUCCACGAGAAGGCAUCCCCAUCAAAAUUUAUAAGGCAGAGUUUGCAUCUCUGAUUUUAAAUGGGCUUAACUGCUCGAAUUAGAGUAGGUUUUCUAUUCCUGGGAGAGAGGAGAGUGUUCAGGAAUUCCAAGAACAAUCAGGCAUUUGGGGCCUUUUUAUAAGAAUGCUUUAAUCCUAGCUUCUACUGAUUGAAUAACCUUAGUGAGGUGGUGUUCUGCUUGGUAUGGAAUUAACCUCUUUUUACAUCGUAUACAUACACACAGACAACAAAGAGGCAGAAUCCACUAGGUGAGAACUACCCUGCCUCAGUCUUAAGCUCCAUCAUUCAUUAAUAACAGAAAAAUAAAUGAUGGGGGUAUUCUAUUAGCCGCACAGUCUGAAUCUGAUUGAUCCAUCCACCUGGUAGUCCUGGAGGGACCAGGAGUCUUGAUCCAACUAUUAGUUACGUUCUCCAUUGCAGCUAAAUGAGAGAUUGGAAAUGGCUACCAGGCCCUAUAUUACCUUCCAAUGCCCAGCAGGUGGCAACCAUGGGAACAAGUGGGAAUCCUGUCUCACCACAGCUCAGAUUCUACAUGGUACUAUUUCUCCUGCAGCAUGUAAGCGUGUUUCCAAUAAGCAUCUUUAGAGCUCUUAUUAAGCGGACAGCAGAGUUCAAGCCAGGGAAAGGAUAGCACUCCAACCAAAAAACAACAUCUCAGCAAAUUAACAAAAUAAUUUAUCUAACAUCCACCCCUCCCAGAGAAAACUGUGUUGAAGGGAUUCAAACAUAAAGUGGCCUGCCUGACACUCUCAGUUACAGAUUCUUUUGAUGGGUAAAUGUACAGGGCUUGAUUCUUUGCCUAAAGCUCUUUCUAUCAAGUAUGAUUAGCUAAAUUCAGAGAGAUGCUGCUUUUAGUGUGGUCAAUAGAAGCCCGGAAAGGAGGAAUAUUUCAGAAGAACAUAUAAGCGAAUGCCUAGCACAGGCCCUGAAUAAAUGCCUGCUGGAUCAGACUCUGAGUCUCAUACGAGGCCAAGCUGAGGAACAAUUUGCAGGUCGAUUCAAGUGCAAUACUGUUUCCUGAUGGGCUCCAGAGAGACAGGACACAUUAGGGGAUUGCUAAAGAGCCCUAGCAACUCCGUACCACGUCACACUAAAAGACUUCCAGCAAGAGAGCUAAGAACGUUAACGACCAUGCCUACUUGAGCCUCUGGGACAUGUCUCAUCCUAGCUGCUUGGAUGGGUAAUUCCAUGGUACACUCUUGAUGAAUCUCCUUCCCUUAGUCAGAUCCUGCCUCUUCCACACCAUCGCUAUGUCUCAUACCUGCAGUAAGGAGGGAGUUGUCACUUCUCAACCUCAUUCACCAGACUGGUGACUCCCAGGGAACUUUCUAAAAAUAGGGAGGUGACCAGCCUCCCAGCAGCCGUCCAUGAGGGCACAGUUCUGUGGGCUCCUGGAUUGUUUAUAGACAUACC
rnacentral:lncRNA from 1 species